UGGGGAAUAUUGCACAAUGGGCGAAAGCCUGAUGCAGCAACGCCGCGUGAGUGAUGAAGGCCUUCGGGUUGUAAAGCUCUGUCUUUUGGGACGAUAAUGACGGUACCAAAGGAGGAAGCCACGGCUAACUACGUACCAGCAGCCGCGGUAAUACGUAGGUGGCAAGCGUUGUCCGGAAUUACUGGGCGUAAAGAAUGCGUAGGUGGAUAUGCAAGUCAGAUGUGAAAUACCCGGGCUCAACUUGGGUGCUGCAUUUGAAACUAUAUAUCUAGAGUGCAGGAGAGGAAAGCGGAAUUCCUAGUGUGGCGGUGAAAUGCGUAGAGAUUAGGAAGAACACCAGUGGCGAAGGCGGCUUUCUGGACUGUAACUGACACUGAGGCAUGAAAGCGUGGGGAGCAAACA
rnacentral:rRNA from 1 species